GCAGUGGUGGUUCAGUGGUAGAAUUCCCACCUUCCGUGCCGGAGACCUGGGCUUGAUUCUCAGCCAGCGCA
rnacentral:tRNA from 1 species